GGAGAGAUGGCAGAGUGGUCGAACGCGCACGCUUGGAAAGCGUGUGUAGCGAAAGCUACCACGGGUUCGAAUCCCGUUCUCUCCGCCA
rnacentral:tRNA from 1 species